GGGUACCCCUUUAAGGCGCCAAGAAGAUUAUUUUCGGCCUCUUGCUAUGAGAUUCUAAAGCAGUAACCUCAAAGCCUUUCCUCAAUUUAUUGAUCUUCUGGAGUUGGUUACUGUAAGUAGGUAAUCAAACCAAACACUCAUAAAAGAACUUAAGAAUUCAGUUCAUUUAAUAUUUUGGACUCAGUAAAAUCCCUUAUUUAUUAGCCUAUUCCAGCUCAUCAACGCAUGUUUAUCUAUUUCCUGAAGGGAUUGGCAUAAUCAC
rnacentral:lncRNA from 1 species